ACUGACUCUCCUGCCUGGAAGAAGCCGGGAACACAGGCCCAGGAGGGUCUCAGUGCUGCCUAACAAAAGCUUUGACACUAUGACAUGUCUGUCUGUGUGCAGAAUGGCAUUUGCCAUGGCCUUGAACUGGGACACACGAUCCAGGAGGCUCAGCAGGUGAAAGACGAAAGGACCUUGAAAGCAGUAUGGCUUGCUGCC